rnacentral:lncRNA from 1 species
GAGGUGGAAUGAAAUGUGGACGGAAAUGGAAGACCUUGCUAAAGAGGCUGCCAUUGUUAUUAUAGUGAAACUUUUAUGGAUCAGGUUUGCAGCCAAGUAAGAACCAUGGUAGACUUCAUAAACGAUAACAAGAUCAUACCACAGACAAUUUAGAAAUAGCAUACUGGCUCGAUUGACAGGAAUUUAAAUGUUGCGUAGUAAAACGACAUCCAAAACGAAGUACAAGAUUCACUGCAAUUGUCAAGAACAAUGAUACCAACCAACCAACGACAAACAAUACUUCUGUCGAGACAUAACAUUUCUUCGCAACAAAACUACUUUUAGGAAUGAUAAUCGGACAGUUCUAU